GUCCUUAUAGCUUAAACCCAAAGCACGGCACUGAAGAUGCCGAGAUGGUACACCAGCACCUAAGGACA